rnacentral:rRNA from 1 species
AUUGAACGCUGGCGGCAGGCCUAACACAUGCAAGUCGAACGAGUGGCGGACGGGAGAGUAAUGUCUGGGAAACUGCCUGAUGGAGGGGGAUAACUAAUGGAAACGGUAGCUAAUACCGCAUAGCAGCGGAGGUGCCAAUAUGGGCGUAGCUAGGAGGUGGGGUAAAGGCGCACCUAGGCGACGAUCCCUAGCUGGUCUGAGAGGAUGACCAGCCACACUGGAACUGAGACACGGUCCAGACUCCUACGGGAGGCAGCAGUGGGGAAUAUUGCACAAUUGGCGCAAGCCUGAUGCAGCCAUGCCGCGUGUAUGAAGAAGGCCUUCGGGUUGUAAAGUACUUUCAGCGGGGAUGCGUUACCCGCAGAAGAAGCACCGGCUAACUCCGUGCCAGCAGCCGCGGUAAUUC